rnacentral:rRNA from 1 species
UACGGGGGGGGCAAGCGUUGUUCGGAAUUACUGGGCGUAAAGGGCUCGUAGGUGGCCAACUAAGUCAGACGUGAAAUCCCUCGGCUUAACCGGGGAACUGCGUCUGAUACUGGAUGGCUUGAGUUUGGGAGAGGGACGCGGAAUUCCAGGUGUAGCGGUGAAAUGCGUAGAUAUCUGGAGGAACAUCGGUGGCGAAGGCGGCAUCCUGGACCGGUAUUGACGCUGAGGCGCGAAAGCCAGGGGAGCAAACGGG